rfam:Alistipes sp. CAG:268 genomic scaffold, scf49
GCGCAGGUCCGCUCUGUCGCCGCCGGCGCAAGCCGGGGGAGGAAAGUCCGGGCAACACAGAGCGCCACGCAAGCUAACGACUUGACAGCCGUGAGGUUGUGGGAGCGUAACAGAGAAUGACCGCCCGCCGGCGGAAGAUUCGGGACACGACGGGAUCCGUGCGAUGCCGCAGGUCUCCGGCUCCGAACGGCGGGUAAGGGUGAAAAGGCGGGGUAAGAGCCCACCGCGGAGGCAGCAAUGUCAUCCGGCCGUACGUCCCGUGGGUUGCAAGACCGUGUAUACCGGCAAUCAAGGAUGGCUCGUCCGAUGUCGGGGGGUAGGUUGCUUGAGGCGGCAGGUGACUGCCGUCGUAGAUAAAUGACAGAGACCCGGAGUCCGCUCCGGGGACAGAACCCGGCUUACAGGGCCUGCAAAGCA